UGCAAGACUGAAACUCAAGAAUUGACGGGGCCGCACAAACGGUGGAGCAUGUGGUUCAAUUGACGCAACGCGAAGAACCUUACCUGGGCUCGAAAUGUAGUGGACCGGGGUGGAAACAUCCCUUCCCGCAAGGGCUGCUAUAUAGGUGCUGCAUGGCUGUCGUCAGCUCGUGUCGUAAGAUGUUGGGUUAAGUCCCGCAACGAGCGCAACCCUUAUUGUCAGUUGCCAUCAUUCAGUUGGGCACUCUGGCGAAACCGCCUCGGAUAACGGGGAGGAAGGUGGGGAUGACGUCAAGUCCUCAUGGCCUUUACGUCCAGGGCUACACACGUGCUACAAUGGUCGGUACAAACCGUCGCAAACCCGCGAGGGGGAGCUAAUCGGAAAAAGCCGACCUCAGUUCGGAUUGGAGUCUGCAACUCGACUCCAUGAAGCUGGAAUCGCUAGUAAUUGCGGAUCAGAACUGCCGCGGUGAAUACGUUCCCGGGCCUUGUACACACCGCCCGUCACAUCACGAAAGUGGGCUGUACUAGAAGCCGGUGGGCUAACCGCAAGGAAGCAGCCGUCCAAGGUAUAACUCAUGAUUGGGGUGAAGUCGUAACAAAGGUCCAAUC
rnacentral:rRNA from 1 species